rnacentral:misc_RNA from 1 species
AGCAGCCGCGGUAAUUCCAGCUCCAAUAGCGUAUAUUAAAGUUGUUGCAGUUAAAAAGCUCGUAGUUGAAUUUCGGGAUCAAGGAAUCGGUCAUGCCUCGGUAUGUACUGGUUUUAUUGGUUCUCACCUUCUACAGAACCAUAAUGUCAUUCAUUUGAUGUUAUGGGGAAUUAGGACUGUUACCUUGAAAAAAUUAGAGUGUUUAAAGCAGGCUUACGCUUGAAUACAUUAGCAUGGAAUAAUGAAAUAGGACAUCAGAUUCUAUUUUGUUGGUUUCUAGGAUCGAUGUAAUGAUUAAUAGGGAUAGUUGGGGGCAUUAGUAUUCAAUUGUCAGAGGUGAAAUUCUUGGAUUUAUUGAAGACUAACUACUGCGAAAGCAUUUGCCAAGGAUGUUUUCAUUAAUCAAGAACGAAAGUUAGGGGAUCGAAGACGAUCAGAUACCGUCGUAGUCUUAACCAUAAACUAUGCCGACUAGGGAUCGGAUGAUGUUAAUUUUAUAAUGACUCAUUCGGCACCUUAC